ACAAUGGAGAGUUUGAUCCUGGCUCAGGAUGAACGCUAGCGGCAGGCUUAAUACAUGCAAGUCGUGGGGCAGCAUGGUGUAGCAAUACACUGAUGGCGACCGGCAAACGGGUGCGGAACACGUACACAACUUUCCUACAAGUGGGGAAUAGCCCAGAGAAAUUUGGAUUAAUACCCCGUAACAUAGUGAUAUGGCAUCAUAUUACUAUUAUAGCUUCGGCGCUUGUUGAUGGGUGUGCGGCUGAUUAGAUAGUUGGCGGGGUAACGGCCCACCAAGUCUACGAUCAGUAGCUGAUGUGAGAGCAUGAUCAGCCACACGGGCACUGAGACACGG
rnacentral:rRNA from 1 species